rnacentral:misc_RNA from 1 species
AACGCACAUUGCGCCCUCUGGUAUUCCGGAGGGCAUGCCUGUUCGAGCGUCAUUUCGACCCUCAAGCCUUGCUUGGUGUUGGGCGCCUUGUCCCCCCACGAUCUGGGGACCCGCCUCGAAAUCAUCGGCGCCAGCGGUUUGGUCUGGAGCGCAGCAGAUCGCUGCUCCUGUACCUGCGCCUGCUGGCUUCCGCAAGCUGCGAAGUCCACGCUGAAACUUGACCUCGGAUCAGGCAGGGAUACCCGCUGAACUUAA